GUGAGGAAUAUUGGUCAAUGGGCGAAAGCCUGAACCAGCCAUGUCGCGUGAAGGAUGAAGGUCCUAUGGAUUGUAAACUUCUUUUGCAGGAGGGUAAAGUGAGCUACGUGUAGUUCAUUGCAAGUACCCUGCGAAUCAGCAUCGGCUAACUCCGUGCCAGCAGCCGCGGUAAUACGGAGGAUGCGAGCGUUAUCCGGAUUUAUUGGGUUUAAAGGGUGCGUAGGCGGACUAAUUAGUCAGCGGUGCAAUUUUGCGGCUCAACCGUAAAACUGCCGUUGAAACUGUUAGGCUUGAGUGCGGGAGAGGUAGGCGGAAUGUGUGGUGUAGCGGUGAAAUGCGUAGAUAUCACACAGAACACCGAUUGCGUAGGCAGCUUACUGGAGCGCAACUGACGCUGAGGCACGAAAGCGUGGGGAUCGAACAGGAUUAGAAACCCCAGUAGUCC
rnacentral:rRNA from 1 species